rnacentral:lncRNA from 1 species
AAAGAUAAAAGUCUCUAGAAUUCUAGCAUCUCUAGGAACAGAUAAACAGCAGCUCAACCUUCCUAUAUCAUAUCCGUUAACGACACUUUCCCAACAAGUUCAGGUUUUGAGCAAAUCUUAAUUAAUAACAGUCAUGCCUAAACUUGAGAGAGAUUUCAAUUUUAAGAACUAGUCAUGGCAGAGCAACUAUUCAUCAUUUCCAUGUGAGAGCUUAUCAUGAGGGUUCAUAGCAAACUUUAUUUAUUUAUUUAUUUAGCAAACUAAGCAAAGAUAUAUAUAAGCACAAAAUCUUUAUUUGGGUUUUUAUGAUUAUGCAUCUUUUUAUUAUUUGAGUAAAGUAUAAACGUGAGUAGAACACUUAGCUGGAUAAACGGGGGUGCUCUCCCCCAAGGUGGAUUUUGAUGUAAUUCCUUUUGAUGUAGCAGGUGGCGGAGGUGUAUUUGAAUGUCGGUAGCACCCUGACAGUGAUUAGGAUGUCCUCCGUCUGCUAGUCUUCUUUGAUCCUUGAAUUCUGUGGAGCUCAAAUAGACAACAAAGCUUUGUGGAACUGGUUAAGUGUUAGCAUAAGUAUCUAGCCUUUAUCAUGUUGAGAGUCCUCAAUAAAUGUUACUCUCUUAGUAGAAUCAUUUAUUUUUAUAAUUUUAUUUUUAUAAGACAGGAAUAUAUUUAUUUCAUUUUUACACCACCACAGUGAAUGUACUUAUGGGUUUUGUGCCAUGAGCAUACUCACAUGGGGCUUACUAUUUUUAACAUUUUUAUUUUCUUUUUAAGAUGAUAUAAACCUGAUUAACUAAGCAAACUACUUUAAAUAAUUGAAAGGAAAAGGAUAACUACCACGUUUACCUCUUAGCAAGGCGUUUGUUGUUUUUAAGUCCUCCGAACGGGACUCUCCGUUUUCUCAGUCGUCCUGGGAUUCGCUGGAUGGCGUAGUCAGUGGUUCCGGCGGCGCCUCUUCUUCGUGUAUAACUAUCUUUUCUCUCCACACCUGACUUGGUGCUACGGUCUCCUCAGGACAGUUCUGUUCAAGCUGUAUGUCUUCAGACAUUACCACUUCUCCUUCUUAUUCCGCCCAUCCGUCCUUGAUGAUUUGCCUUCUCUGGUUGCGGUUGCGUCGUCUUCUUUGUUUUGACCUGCUUAGAUUCUUCAAUUAUAUAGUUAGGGUCAGUAAAAUAGCGGCGUACCUUCUCAGAGGGGAAGUGCAUGUGGACUUCUCUGGUUCCAAGGUAGAUGAUUGCUUUAAUAGUGCUGAGGAACAGUCUCCCAAGGAUGACGGGUGGAUCGUACUUGUCUUCUCCCAUGUCAAUGACCUUUCAGAAUGUCUAAUCUUCCAUCUGGAGCUGAGUCGUCCUUUUUGGUCAGAAACGGUGACUUAAGUCGACGAUCUUGACCUCCUUGAACUGCAGUGACCAUCUUAGCUGACUUGGUCCACAUUUGCUUGUUCCUGUUCUUCGUGUUGGUCCUCUUCCUUGGUUCAUGUCGGGAUUGCUCUGAGAUUUGUGUAAUCUUGUUCUUGAAGGAAAACGUCUCCUUCCUUCCCUUGAUGUAGAAACUGAUCUUGGCAGCACUAGCGUAGAUGACAGCUCCUGAGGUAUUUAGGAAUGGCCUCCCCUAGGCAUAAUGUUGACGCUGGAGCCAAAGUCGCAGAGUGCUUCUAGGAAGUCCACUAAACCGAUGGAGAUCGGGAUGACGGGGCGUCCUGGGUUGUCUCUCUUGACUAGCAGAAGAUCAGUAAUUACUUCCACAACGGGGUUACUCCAGUAGUUACGUCCUCAAGCAUCUCAGGGCAGUGAUUGCCUGAGUGUCCAGUAUCUCCAGUGUGUUUGUGCUCGUAGAUCUAGGUUCUUCACUUGGUGGAGUCUGGGAGUUGAAAAACUCCUUCAUAUUUUGCUCGAAGUGUCUUGCUCAUAGAAACAAGGCAGAGAUCAAGUGCAUGGGCCCUAUUGGUGGAAAACACCAACAGAACCAAAAUUGUAUUUGUUCUUCUCUAACCUUAAGCAUAGUGAGCAAGACAAAGUUGAUGGAUAAUAAGAUCAUGAGUGUAGCAUUUAAAACAUUUGUCAGAUCAGAUUGCUCAACCUAAUGGAAAGAUAAUCUAUCUAUACUUAUGUGUUUUCUCUUUUUUUUUAUAUAUAUCUUCCAAAGAUUGAGUGUGCAACACUUUAGCUCAUAUGAUUAGGAGUGUGGGAUCACAAAGGUGGAAGGACUAAACAUGUUGAAUCGAUUGGGUUGGUUAAUCUAGAGUUGUAAAUCAUACAUUUUUGUCUCUUUUAUUCAUGUGAACGCCAGAACCAAGGAGAAGCUUAUAAAAGUGAUAGUCAAGUACCUUAAGAUGUUACCUUACUUGAAGAGUGAUGGUUCAGUAUCACUUUGUGGAAGUUUUCCUUUCUUAGCGGUUGUGCAUCGUGUUCGUGGCACCCUCCAUGGAUCAUCUCUUGUGAGCUAUGUCUUCCUUGUGUAAAUUGUUAAACUUUAUGUGUCUCUCUCUUUGUCUCCAAUGUGGGUUUAUCUCAGGACUUCCCAGGUCGAUAUUGAAAGUUUUCCUACAGGGGUUAGUCCAACAAAAUAUCCAAUAUCUACUAUAGCAUACUAUCGGCUCAAAAAUCAACCUAGACACCAUGUCUAAUUUGAUUUAGGAGGGCAUUUUAACCUAAGCAUCAUGCUUAAUUUAAAAUCCUUUGGAAGUAAGAUCACCAUUCCUAAACUAAGCACCAUGCUUAAUUAAGAGAUAAAUGAAACUACUCCAAACCU